GGGGCUGUAGCUCAGCUGGCCAGAGCGCGACAAUCGCAAUGUCGAGGCCACCGGUUCAAAUCCGGUCAGCUCCACCA
rnacentral:tRNA from 1 species